GAGUUUGAUCGUGGCUCAGAUUGAACGCUGGCGGCAUGCCUUACACAUGCAAGUCGAACGGCAGCAUGAUCUAGCUUGCUAGAUUGAUGGCGAGUGGCGAACGGGUGAGUAAUACAUCGGAACGUGCCCUGUAGUGGGGGAUAACUAGUCGAAAGAUUAGCUAAUACCGCAUACGACCUGAGGGUGAAAGUGGGGGACCGCAAGGCCUCAUGCUGUAGGAGCGGCCGAUGUCUGAUUAGCUAGUUGGUGGGGUAAAGGCCCACCGAGGCGACGAUCAGUAGCUGGUCUGAGAGGACGAUCAGCCACACUGGGACUGAGACACGGCCCAGACUCCUACGGGAGGCAGCAGUGGGGAAUUUUGGACAAUGGGCGAAAGCCUGAUCCAGCAAUGCCGCGUGUGUGAAGAAGGCCUCGGUGU
rnacentral:rRNA from 1 species